GAAGUCAUCCAAAGGGCAGCAUUGUUACUGCCAUGAGCAAGAAAGAGUGACCUUGAGAUAAUCAUUUUACUCAUUUGGGCCUCCGUUUUCUCAUUUGUAAAAUAAAAGGGUUGAACUAGGCUGCCAUAUAAGACAUGCCUUUCACCUUCUGCCGAUUGUGAGGCCUCCCUAGCCACAUGGAACCAUGAGUUCAUUAAGCCUUUUUCUUAUAAAUUAUCCAGUCUCAGCUCAACAACAACUUUUCUGCAAAGCUCUUGAUCCUUCCACAUCUGGCAUGAAAAUAUUCCAAGUUAUCUGUGUUGGCAGAUGGAGCUGUGCUGAACGGAAGCUUUAUCCUGGAUUCGGUCUUCUGUCCCAGCACGAGCACCUGACUCAACUUUGGAAGUGUGGAGAAGGUUAUGGAACUUCAUCCUGCCCUAGUUCACCUCCCCCCACUUCCAGUCCUACCCUCUUAUACUUCUUCUUGGUCCAAAUGGAUUAUCCCCUAAUUUUUCCCCUUAAAGAUAUCAAUAGAACAUUGAUUAUCCAUACUGUAUGCUCAUUAUUGUCCUGA
rnacentral:lncRNA from 1 species